ensembl:snRNA U2 U2 spliceosomal RNA
AUCGCUUCUCGGCCUUUUGGCUAAGAUCAAGUGUCUGGCAGGCAGUAUUAUUCAUUUACUUAUUUAAAAAAAUUUUUUAAGCUUUAUUUUU